AACACACAUUCCAGUAAUAGUUAUUCACUAUCGAGUCUUGUGGACUGUACGUACUUAGACAUGCCCACAGACACCACCCACCACCAACACGUGAGUGAUAUGUUGUGCUAUGAUGCAAUAAUGCUCAGGAUGUUGCUUGGCACUAUGAGUGUCAGUCAGCUUCAUUACAGUCUUAUGGGACCACUACCAUAUAUCCGAUCUGUCUGAUUCAAAGGUCAUUAAGCAGUGUAUGACUUAUAAAAGCCUCCAAAACAGUUAAAGGCAACAGUGUUAAAGCUGGAAAGAGCUUAUGGAAUCUGCUACACCUGGGCCAGGACCAGAGUGAAUUGUCAGCUCUCUGAGUGGCCACCAGACUGAAUCCCAAAAUGGCAAACAUCCCCCCACUUCAGCUCUUGCUUGUAGCCCAUAAUCAAGUUUACAUAAACAGAAAGAUCCAAAGAGCAAGGAGUGCUAAAUCCUGCCAAGAGAGAGACAACGCUUCUCUGCCCGCAACUGUUUCAUCUCGGCACUCAAGGCUCUGCAAACCACUGUGUGGAAACAUUUGACUCAGGGCAGCCCGUGAGAAGGAAGGAGGCAGGAGCGCCUUUGCAGCAUGCGAGCUACAGUGAGCGUGGCCGGGGCUUGGUGACACCCAGUCCCUCCCUUCUCUGCCUCCCGGUCUUGGGAGUCAGUUAAGUGUUAUAAACUCUUAAUCACACCCUUGUUUUCCCAAAUAAAGUGCAGCUAAUAGACUCAAUCAUUUCUUUGUGCAGAAGGGCACUGCAGAGUCUCAGAUUCGUGGUGGGCUGCCUGAGCCCACCAGGCUGUCUGUGUGGAGCUGUGCGGGCUGAGGGAGGCCCCUGGCACUCCUCCUUGUGAGCAGUGCCCCUGCUAUGGCACAGACGACCAGCUCACUGCUGCCAGCUCCUCUCUCUGUAGGUCUCCGGGCUGCAGGGCCAGCAG
rnacentral:lncRNA from 1 species